rnacentral:rRNA from 1 species
GACGAACGCUGGCGGUGCGCCUUAUGCAUGCAAGUCGAGCGAAGCUUUUCAGUAGUUUACUACAGAAAAUGACUGAGCGGCGAACGGGUGAGUAACGCGUGAGCAAUCUACCUUAGUUACUGGGAUAGCCCGAGGAAACUCGGAUUAAUACCGGAUAAUCUUAUUACAUCACAUGAUAUUUUAAGUAAAGGUCAGCCGAACUAAGAUGAGCUCGCGUUCUAUCAGCUUGUUGGUGGGGUAAAAGCCUACCAAGGCUACGACGGAUAGCUGGUCUGAGAGGACGAUCAGCCACACUGGGACUGAGACACGGCCCAGACUCCUACGGGAGGCUGCAGCAGGGAAUAUUGCGCAAUGAGCGAAAGCUUGACGCAGCGACACCGCGUGUGGGAUGACGGUUCUAGGAUUGUAAACCACUUUCAGGAGGGAAGAAAAUGACGG